rnacentral:rRNA from 1 species
UACGUAGGGUGCGAGCGUUAAUCGGAAUUACUGGGCGUAAAGCGUGCGCAGGCGGUUGUGUAAGACAGAUGUGAAAUCCCCGGGCUCAACCUGGGAACUGCAUUUGUGACUGCACAGCUGGAGUGCGGCAGAGGGGGAUGGAAUUCCGCGUGUAGCAGUGAAAUGCGUAGAUAUGCGGAGGAACACCGAUGGCGAAGGCAAUCCCCUGGGCCUGCACUGACGCUCAUGCACGAAAGUGUGGGGAGCAAACAGG